GAAGGCAAGGACAAACUAUUUCUGUGCUGAUAAAAAGAUGACAUGUCUAAGUCUAUGAAGCCACAAGGUCAUGUGACUUCAAAAGACUCAAUGCUAACUUAACUUGGGGGAGUCUUUUCUCUUUUAUUAGGACAAUAGAAAGAUUAUAGUUCAGGAUUAGUAUGAUGAGUGAAUGAACUCUGUUUGGCUGGAUAUGAAUUACAUGCUAAGCCAUAAGCUAUGCCUUACAAAUUACAGUGCCUGGGAGGAGAUUUUGGCUUUACUCCGUAUGUAUAUCCAAACCUAUUGUCAUAGUUUUGCUCUGAAGAUGGAGGAAACCACUCAUGUCCAGAUUGUGGAGGAAAUCCCCCCUGAAUAUUGCUUGCAACCUUGGGCUUAACACAGGGGUCUCCAAACUUGGCAAUUGUUAAGACUUGUGGACUUCAACUCUCAGAAUUCCCCACCCAGCAUGGUUAGCUAAGGAAUUCUGGGAAUUGAAGAAUUCUGGGAGUUUCGCAAGUCUUAAAGUUACCAAGUUUGGAGAUCCUUGGCUUAAUGCAGUAUUUGCUUCCAACCAGGCUCAAUUGUUUCGUCAACACAACAGACUGGAAAUUAAGAUUCGAUUACAAGUCUGCUCUAUGAGUCAGAGCACAAUGGUAAUGACUGUGUUCCCCAGAGAGCCCUUCGACCAUAGAAUCCACUACCCUUCCAUGAAGUCUUGCUGCUAAAUCCAAGGAUUCGUGUCUCCUAAUGUUGAUCGGUCCUAAGCAUCCUGGGGCCCAAUUCUCCAAACCCACGCGUUUCCUGAGUGGUGAAGCACCUACUUCCCAAACCACUGGGGAGCCACGUCUGCAGUCCUUGCUCAGCUAAAAACACCAGGUUAGGGAAGGCUGUUAUUCAGAUGAAAGGAAAGAGUUUCGUUGUGAUGUUCCCAUAAAUUCUUAGGAUCUAAGAAGAUAAGAAAUAAGAGUUUGGAACUCUGCCAAGGGUACAAAUGAAGCUUCAAGAUUUUUAUUUUAUUUUAUUUUUUUGCAAAAUUUACAUAAGCUUUAGCUGACCUACUGCCUUUCAGACAAGUUAGGGUUCCAGAAUUCCCAGCCGGUUUGAUCAAGCUGCCUAGGAAGGUUGGUGACUCAAAACACAUUUGAGGAACACCAGCUGGGGAAAGCUGGUCUCUAUGAUGCUGAUUUUAUUAUUCACAGAACCGUAGCUUCAUUUUGGGGGUCAGAGGAUCUGGCCAACUGUAACUCUCUAUUUAUGUAUCUUGGGCAGACUUUUCUCAAGUCGAGAACAGAUCAAAACCUCAUAAGGCUUUUGAGAAACUGCCUUCUUUCUUUAUUCGUGAGGUUAUUGGCUGGAUCCGGUGCUCAUGCAGAGCAAUCUAUCUGCAGCCUACAAUUGCUUAAUCAGGCACAUGCUGAGAGUUUGGGAUAAUUUCAGGAGGCUGGUUAAUACAGGGAUUUUCAACCACAAGUUUCUGAAACACACAGAUAAAUCAUGUCUGAUCCUUGAGGUAACGAUCUGUUAGGAAUGGUGACUUUAGGUGACCCUGAAAUAAGCAAUUAGUAUUUCUCUUCUUUGACAGGAAUCAUCCUGCCAGCUGUGUCUGCACUCUCAAUAUCUUGGAACCAAAGCAAAGAAGGGAAAUGCAGAGAUGUUUGGGACUGAAUUCUCUGCAAACCAUCAUUUUUCAGUUCUUUGGGAUUAGUGUUUGGAAAAUGAGCAACAAGAACUCCUGUAGAUCCAGAGACCUACAUCCUCUGGACACCCCUGAUCUCUGCACUGAGAACCAAGCCUUUCAGUCAUGGCUUGGCCCUAUGGAGUUCUGGUUCUGUUGGAAUUAGGCCCAUCUUCUCUAAAACUGCAACUUCUGGUGCCGGGAAAUAGCAUCACUGAACUGGUGGAAGAAUCAAUCAAAAUUUGCCAGGAAGCUUUGGGAGAUCGGUAAAAGGAGCUGUGCAAGGAUCCUCUAGUCCAGCGUACAGGCAGUCGUCCACUUAACCGUUUGAAGUUAAGACGGCACUGAAAAAGUAACAUACUAAGAGGCUGAAACUCAGAUCUCCUCCACUACUUGAUGUCUAAGCGUUUGGUUUCCCACACUGGGCUGCAACAACUGGAACUCAAAUUAUGGAGAGAGAUUCCUGCUGCCACCCAGGACCCGUGACAAUCACAACAGUCUAUUGUGUGCUUCGGUUGCCAAGGAGAAUAACAAUUUGUGCACUGCGUACUGGGUUUCUGAUUCUGAACAGCACCGUGUGGAGAUGUUGAUAAUGCAGAUAAGAUCACGUUUAGAGGAAGAAGGUAAGGGACAAACCUCAAACCACAUUUAAACUUUUGCAGGGACGACCCUGCUGGUAAAUGAACUUUGGGGAUGAAGAAACACAUUGAAUUCCAUAUUCUUUGUGGCUUCACUCCCAGGUCACACAUCUCGCCCCUACGUGCCACACCCCUCCAGGCUCCGCCCCUUACCUGUCAGAUGAUACCUUAGCCACAUCCCCAGGCAAUUUGAGCCAAAGGCAGGGGCAUCAAAAGAGUCAAGAUGGUGGCUGUGACUGUGCAAUUGAAGCCCCACCCUUUUUUAUAUAAUGUGGAGCACAAAUCCAUGUUUACCGUAUCGUGGUUUAAUGAAGAAGCAAUAAUGGGAGGGGAUCACUAAGGUUUAUGGCAAGGCGUUGUACACAUUAAAAAAUAAAACUACAGAAAAGGCCAGCAGUGUCUCUGCAGAGGAAUGAGUCAAAAAAGUCAAGAUGGCUGCAUACACAUAAAAAGGGGAGGAGCUUCAGCACCAGCAAUCAUCUCAACUGUAUUGACACUACAGACAUGGCUGAAACCCCCAUUUACUUGGUGCGAUGUGUAAAGCCAAUUGUACAAACUCUGCACAUUCUUAAACUUUCACACUCUCUGCUGCAGUUGCACAUUAGUACAAGGUGGUUGAGCUAUGCUGUAAUUCAAUUCAUUUUGCUCUGGCUGGGCACAGGAUCAGCAGUUCCCCCCCCCCCCCACUGGGGUCACACUUUAAUUUUUGCAGCCUGACAGGGGACUCGGAACAUAUGAACAAGGAAAAAAGAAACCCUAGCAUGAUAGGUGAUGGUUGUGGUUGACGGCAGGCUCAGCGUUACAAAUGGACUUUAAAAGUCAUCAGCUGUUCAGUCCCGGCAGUGUCAAUUUUGGAGGCAGGCAGAAGUGAUGCCCUGCAGCUAUCAGAGGUUUGAAGCAAACUCUUCAGAGGAGCAUCCCUGAAAAUGCAGUUCCCGGGUGCUAAGCAGCUGACAUUAUUAAAUAGAUAAGUACAGAGUCUCAAGAGAAGAUUUGUCAGAUUUAAUUCUGACUUUGUGUAGCGUCUGCAAUUUCUCUUUCUCUCUCUCUCUCUCUGUUUGAGAGAAAGAGACACACAGAGAUCCAGAGGAAGAAUCGGUCACUUUUUCCCAGUUAAUGAGAAAAAACAGCAGGUUCCCAACUGAACAAAAAGCCAACAUCAGCAGGGGAAGGUAGCACUCACUUUGCCUUGCCUUUUCUUUAGCUGCCUUCCAAAAGCAGCUUGGGUUUUUAAUUCCCCCUCCUUCCAUCACUUGCCAAGACACUUUGAUGAUGGAGAAGAGACCUUCCAGGUACUUCCUCUUGAUUUGCAUCAUAAAACAUAGAAUAAUAAGGUUAAAAGGACUGAGGAGGUCUUCUAGUAGUCAACCCCACUGCUCAAGCAGGAGAACUUAUACCAUUCCAGACAA